rnacentral:lncRNA from 1 species
UUGUAAUUUAAAUAAAAAACCACAUACUUUCAAAAUAAAAUCCUUAUAAAUGAAUAGGUACAAAUUAAGUCCGUCGACAUUGUACAACCCUUGCUAUUGUAUCAUGUUCAUAUCAUUUCAUUUGAAAACACUCCAUAUAGAACCUGUAAAGCCUGAGAAAAAUAAACAUAAAAAAGUAAUUAUUUAGUGGCCAAUAAUAAGAAGAAAAAGAAAAGACCCUUAUUUUUUUUUACUGAAAAUGACAANNAGUUUUUUGUUAAGAGAAAAACUGAAAAAAUAUAAAGAUGUAUACAUCAUUCCAUUAUAAAAAUAUUGAGGACUCGACUAACAGGACGACGAUUAAAUAAUUAUGAAAAGAAUUUAUUCAUAGUCACCCUUAACAAUGUGAUCUCUUACCUCCACCCUUUCUAUGAUUAUUCCCAUAAAAAAGGAAGAUGGCUAAAAGCGAGAACAAUAAAAAACAAAAUGCAUGAAAGAAUUUACAUAAAUGAAGAACAAAAAUGAAACAUAUGAAGAAAUAGGGAAGGAAAAUAAAAAUGAGUUACACAAAAUAUAUGGAAUAAUAUAAUGUAUUGUUGGUGCCAACCAUGAUUGUUGUAGUGUAUUGCCUCAGUUUUUUUUCCUAUACAAACUUUUCUCCUUUUUAUGCUAAUAGGAAUAGGUGAUUUUGCAGGGAUUUUUCAACGUCGGACCACAAAAUUAUCUAACUAAAUGAAGUAAAAAAUAUAAUAAAUCAAAUGAAAGUAAUAUGAUGUGAAAGUCACAAAAACCAGCAUAUGAAACUGUGAAAGAAUCUCAUUGUAUCUGAUGCACUACCACUUCUUUGAGUCACGCAAUUUUCCUCUCCCCCACUUUUUUGUUGGUUUUUGCAUAACUGAUGCUUUUUGUAACGUGGGCUUUGAAUCGAGAAAACUACCAUGAGUUUACAAUAAUUUCUUUUAAAAUCUGCUUAUUAUAGUUCUUUCCCUUCUUUUCCUUUUUUUUUUUAAUAAAAAAAUAACAAUUACUAAAGGGUAAAAUUGAGAUAAUAAAAAAUCCAUACCAAAGUCAUGUAUCCUAUUUAUUAUAUGUAUAGAAAAUCUGCUUAUUAUAGUAACUUUCCCUUCUUUUCCUUUUUUUUUUUAAUAAAAAAAUAACAAUUAUUAAAGGGUAAAAUUGGGAUAAUGAAAAAUCCAUACCAAAGUCAUGUAUCCUAUUUAUUAUAUGUAUAGAUAAUAUAGAUAGAUAUAGAUAUAGACUAGUGGGCCACGCAGUCGCGAAACUUAUAUCCAAAAAAUAUAUGCCUUAUGUUAUGGUGAGUUUGUUAAUAAAAGAUUUUUUGUGCAAAAAAAAAAUGUGUCUUAUGUUAUGGUGAGUUUGUUAAUAAUUUUUUUUUGCUACUAAAAAAAUCAGGGGUAUUGUUGGUAUUAUAAAAAGUCCACACCAAAACUCAUGUAUUCUCUUUAUAUAUACUAGCGGCCAAACAGGCGCGUUCCGCACUUGUUUGUGUGAUCCAUAUUUUCUAUUUUAUUAACGUAAAUAAAUUGUAAACAAUAAUUUAUUAUAAGUUUGAUUUUUAUUUAAACUAAUUUGUGAAAGGGGAUUGUGUUAAUAAACUAAAUAAUUAUCAUUAUAUAAUAACAAAAAAAUAAAUUUAUAAUAAAGUUUAUUAACCUUAAUAAAUUUAUUUUUUUUACUUAAAAGUUUAUUAACCCAAUCCUAAUCAUUUCCUAGCGGCCAGACAGGGCGCGUUCCUCGCUUGUAUGUGUGAUCCAUAUUUUCUAUUAUUUAUGUUGAAGAUUAUUCUAAACUUUUUAUGAAUAAUUGACUUAUGGAAAAAAAUUAAGUCAAGCUUAUAAAAAAAACAAAUUAAGUUACAUAGAGUUGCUGUAAAAAAAAAAAAAAGUCAACAGAGACGUUGAAUCAAAUGUAAAAAACUAUUAAGUAAACAAAAAGUCACAUAGAGACGUUGAAUAAAAAACCUCAUUACAAAAAUGAAGAUCAAUGCGUUCAAAAAAUAUUUUAGUAAAACAAUUGCUAAAACAAUUAGCUAAAUUCAAACUAAAAAACCGUAACGCUUAAUCCGCUUGUGUGAUUAAUGUUUUCUAUUUUGCUAACGUAUAUGAAUUAUAGUGACUAAAUUAUACAAAUACCCUUGUGAAAAAACAAUUACACAAAUAACCUUGUGUAAGUAUUAUGUAUACAAAAAAAAUUAUGGAAUUAGUAAUGCAAACAGAUUGACAGCUAAACAAAAUGAAAUUAAAUAAAAGAAAUUUGAAUAAAAAAAUGUAAGAAAAGAGAGAAUUAAAAUCUCAUGUCUAUCUUAAGGGCAACACUAAGAAGAAAAAGAAAAGACCCUUAUCCUUUUUUACUGAAAAUGACAAUAAUGAUGAAAACAGCGUCGCUACGAUUAUUGCGGUUAUUUAAACUUUCCAUCUUCUCUCGAUGAGAUCAGUUUUUUG